AUUUCUACUCCCUUCUGUUUUUGCGAGACUUAAUAACUCUUCAGCUUCCUCCCAUCAUCACCCCACUUUGAGAGAGAAGACAUGGCAAAGGGAAGUUACGAGAAGGCCAUUGUUUCACUCCAGAACAUCCUCAGCAAAAAUCCAGAAUUAUUUGAGAAACUCAAGAAAGGACAGGAACCCAAGGUAAAAGAUCUUAUUACUUUUGUUAUUUUUUAUGCCUUAGAGUAAGCGUAAAGUUAUCGUUGUGUGACCUAUAGAUUAGGGGUAUUGGAAUAAAAUAGCCCAAAGAUCAGGGGCGGAUCUAGCAUGUCAUAUAUGGGUUCCCGUGAACCCAGUAGCUUUUGUCCAAACAGUGUAAAAGUGUUCUAAAAAUUCAUUAAAUAUCUACAAAUAUUUAAAUUUGAACCCAGUUACUAUUGGAAAUUUACUCGAAGUCGUUGCAGGAAUCCAUAAACAUUAAAUCCUAGAUCCGCCUUUACCAAAGAUACUCUUAACAUAGUGUAAUAUUGUCUGCUUUGGACCAAGUCCGCAUGUUUUUCCUCAAAAUACCUCAUACCAUUAAGAGUAUCCACCUCUUUAUAAGUAGAAUCUUUUUCCUUUUCUACUUUCAAUGUGAGACUUUAUUCACACAUAUCUGAUUAUCUAUAUCACACCCUUCGGGUACAGGCUUUCUACGGACCCUGCGUAAAUGAGGGAUGCCUUGUGUACCAGAAUGCUUUUUAGUAUCUUUGCAUUAGUUAUCACAGCAAAAAAAUUUAUUGGUUGGUAAAAUAUAACUAGCUAGUCACACAAUGUACGAGUUGUGACUUCUCAGGCACUGAAUUAGCUCAACCAGUAGGAAGAUUUCUUUUCUUUUUUAUACUUCAUAAUUUAAUUUUCCAUAGUUAAAAAUCAUGUAUCCAACCAUGUAACAGUUUCUGGUGUUUGCUUGCUCCGAUUCACGAGUGAACCCAUCUCAUGUGCUGAAUUUUUAGCUCGGUGAAGCUUUUAUGCUUCGAAACAUCGCCAACAUGGUCCCUCUUAUGACAAGGUAUUUCCUUCAAACUUUGAAUAGAAAUGAAGCUUGUUAUGGCUAUUUGUGUUGGAAUCAUGUAAUUCGAGUCGAAGAAACUGAUUGCUGCCCUUCUCUGUUACAUUACCAGCUUCGAAAUCUAUUAUAUUUUGUCUUCAUGGUCCUCCUAGGCUCACAUAAGCUAUUUAGUUUCUUGUCAUUAUCUUUGUAGAUUCUUUUAUGGUGUUGUAUAAAUAUUUCCCUUUCACUUCCUUAGCUUAAAUGUUUGAAGGUCCCUGAUCCUAUGUAUGAGUGUGUAAAGAACUACUGCAAAGAAAUUUUAGUAAUGUCAAGUAUGUUUCAGGUCUA